UGGGCCAGUCACGCUGCCUCUUUGGUCGGCCACAUCUUUUUUCGCGGGAAACAACUUUCAACGCAUGGUUCCCCUUUCCGAGAAGUAACUGCGCAGAAUGCGCGAGGACCCUGAGGGCCGGGAGACAGACGGGAGGGCUGGUGAGAAGCGCAAGGAGCGAGCCCUGGAGCCGCCGAGGGGACUAGGCCGAGCGGGCCCGUCGGGGCUUCUGGGUGCGGCGGCGGGGUUGGGAGGAGGGCGCGCAGCCGGGAGGAGCUGGGCUGACUCCGCCCCAGGCCAGGAAGUGACUCAAGAAACAGUUUGCGUGCGAUGUGGACAAGAGAGGUCCCCGUUGGGGCUGGGGGCAGCAGCCAUGCCUACCUGGGGGGCCCGCCCCGCGUCCCCAGAUCGCUUUGCGGUGACUGCGGAGGCUGAGAACAAGGUUCGGGAACAGCAGCCCCAUGUGGAGCGCAUCUUCAGCGUGGGGGUGAGCGUCCUUCCGAAGGACUGUCCGGACAACCCCCACAUCUGGCUGCAGCUGGAGGGCCCCAAGGAAAACGCCAGCAGAGCCAAGGAGUACCUGAAAGGCCUCUGCAGCCCAGAACUGCAGGAUGAAAUCCACUACCCGCCCAAACUGCACUGCAUCUUUCUGGGAGCCCAGGGCUUCUUCCUUGACUGCCUGGCCUGGAGCACGUCAGCCCAUCUGGUGCCCAGGGCGCCAGGCUCACUGAUGAUCAGUGGCCUGACUGAAGCCUUUGUCAUGGCUCAGAGCCGGGUAGAAGAGCUGGCAGAGCGGCUGAGCUGGGACUUCACGCCAGGACCAUCUUCCGGAGCCUCUCAGUGUACUGGAGUGCUGAGAGACUUCUCUGCCCUGCUGCGGUCCCCGGGGGAUGCCCAUAGAGAGGCUCUGUUGCAGUUGCCCCUGGCUGUCCAGGAGGAGCUGCUGAGUCUGGUGCAGGAGGCGUCUAGUGGGCAGGGGCCAGGAGCACUGGCUUCUUGGGAGGGGCGGAGCUCAGCCUUGCUGGGUGCUCAGUGCCAAGGAGUGAGAGCUCCCCCUAGUGACGGCAGGGAGUCCCUGGACACUGGAUCUAUGGGACCCGGAGAUUCCAGGGGAGCAAGGGGAGACACUUACGCUGUGGAGAAGGAGGGAGGGAAACAGGGUGGUCCCAGGGAGAUGGAUUUGGGGUGGAAGGAGUUGCCUGGGGAAGAGGCGUGGGAGAGAGAAGUGGCCCUCAGGCCACAGUCAGUGGGUGGAGGGGCAAGGGAGUCAGCACCCCUGAAAGGGAAGGCCCUGGGGAAGGAGGAGAUAACUCUGGGAGGAGGAGGGUUCUGUGUCCACCGUGAGCCUCCCGGUGCCCAUGGCUCCUGUCACAGGGCAGCUCAGUCCCGAGGAGCCUCCCUCCUCCAGCGACUCCACAAUGGGAAUGCCUCUCCUCCGAGGGUGCCCAGCCCUCCACCUGCACCGGAACCCCCAUGGCACUGUGGAGACCGGGGUGACUGCGGAGACCGGGGAGACGUGGGGGACAGGGGAGACAAGCAGCAGGGCAUGGCACGGGGUCGGGGGCCUCAAUGGAAACGAGGCGCCCGAGGGGGCAACUUGGUGACUGGAACACAGCGUUUCAAGGAGGCCCUGCAGGAUCCUUUCACCCUGUGCCUUGCCAAUGUGCCUGGCCAGCCAGACCUCCGCCAUAUUGUCAUUGACGGCAGCAACGUGGCCAUGGUGCAUGGCCUCCAGCACUACUUCUCCAGCCGGGGCAUUGCCAUUGCUGUGCAGUACUUCUGGGACCGUGGUCACCGUGACAUAACUGUCUUUGUGCCUCAGUGGCGCUUCAGUAAGGAUGCCAAAGUCAGAGAGAGUCACUUCCUGCAAAAGCUGUAUUCCCUCAGCCUGCUCUCCCUCACACCCUCACGAGUCAUGGAUGGCAAGAGGAUCUCCUCCUAUGAUGACAGACAGGUUCAUGGUGAAGCUGGCUGAAGAGACAGAUGGGAUAAUUGUCUCCAAUGACCAGUUCCGGGACCUGGCGGAGGAGUCUGAGAAGUGGAUGGCAAUCAUCAGAGAACGCCUGCUGCCCUUUACCUUUGUGGGAAACCUCUUCAUGGUACCUGAUGACCCACUGGGGCGAAACGGCCCCACCCUGGAUGAAUUUCUGAAGAAGCCAGCCAGGACACAGGGGUCUUCUAAGGCUCAGCAUCCUUCCAGGGGCUUUGCAGAACAUGGGAAACAGCAGCAGGGGAGAGAAGAGGAAAAAGGUAGUGGUGGCAUUCGGAAGACCCGGGAAACAGAGCGGCUCCGGCGGCAGCUGCUGGAGGUGUUUUGGGGUCAGGAUCACAAAGUGGACUUCAUCCUGCAGCGGGAGCCAUACUGCCGGGACAUCAACCAACUGUCUGAGGCCCUGCUCAGUCUUAACUUUUGAGCCUCACCUGCUUGAGUGGCUGCCGCCCUGUCAGCUCCAGCCGCCUCCAGCUCAGCCCUUUCUGUGAGAGUCCCUCUGCUGCUCACUCUGAUCCAGAGGCACCCUGAGUUGGCGCUUUGGAUCAGGGAAGCCACUUUGGGACAGGUCUAUAAAGUGAACUUGAUCUUACUGAGUCAGGACCUCAGCCAGCUCUCAAGAGGUUCUGCUCAGCCUUAACUUCUCAACUUUGCCUUAGCACAGGGUUUCUGUAGGGAGUGGGGGCUGCUAGAGGGAUUAAUUCCGGAGACUGAGACUGUUGGCUCCACCUCCAAGCUGAGCUAGGGUGGAGGGCAGGGUGGGCAGGAAGUGACAGGAAGUUAAGCUGUUCCUCUCCCUGGCUGCUGCUCUGGAUGGCCAGAGAACAAGAUGCUCCCUUGCUGAGCUCCUGGGAGCGUGGAAGGAGAUGCUAGGCCCUGGCACAGUGUUAUGUGGACUGGGCCACGAUAGGGUGGAGUGAGCUAGUGAAGAAGGCAGAGGGAGACUUGGCUUCUGGUCUCAGCUAUGCCUGUUUGUGACCUUGAUUGAGUUGCUUGGGCUUUACUUCUGCCUACAAAUCAGGGGUAAAAAUACCUGUUGGGAGGAGAAAUGAGAACAUAGAGGAAAGCCUCUUGGAGGAAAGGUGCUUGGACCAAGUCUCAGGUGUGUCUGCCUGUGGCUGCACAGGCUCUCUAACCGAAACCUCACUUUCAGAGAGAUGUGGGUCCUUUGUCUCCAGGAUCCACACCCUAGAUUUUAACACUGCAUUCUCACUAUAACAUGCCCUAUAAUGGCUGCAUCCCUUUUGAGCAACCUCCAAAAUCUACAUUUACACAGUAGGUAAAUUAGGGAUGACUGCAUUAUCAAAAUACUCUCAGGGUUCCUAUAAAUGGCAGCUCUCCUGUUGUAUUCAGGUGUUGUUUACAGACUAACAAAUGUGUUGGCAAAUCCCUGGUUAGAUGCACUUCCUGGUGUUGAGAUGAACACGUCGAUUUUUCACCAAAUCGAUGAAGCCAUGCUCUGCAAUGACAAUAUUAAUGUGAUCCGACCCUAACAUUUUCUCUAUGGAAGACGUAUGUUGCAUAAAGCAAGGCACACUUCUGCUUUAUGUGUGUGUGUAUGGGGAUGGGAGGACUUAACGGAAGUUGAACCAGUUGGUUCUAGAUGAACUAAUUAUCUGGAAAAUGAAAGAACCAGAGUUGGAAGGCACUUGACUGGCCACCAGACCAACUCUGCUGUUACUGACAUGCUCUCUUCACCCUGAUUCCUAGAGGUCAUUGCCCUGGAUCUGCUUGAAGUCCUCCUGUGCCAGGGAAUUUACUAUCUCCAGGGUAGCACAUUCCCUGUGUAGACGGUAUUAAUCAGUACUCCUUACUUUAGUGCAGCCUAAAGUAUGCUUUUCUGUUACAUCCACCUUUGAGGCUGGUCAUACCUCCAGGAACAAUACAGAGCCAGUCAACUUCCUGGAAUCCAAGACCAGAUAAAGAAGUAGGACAGGUGCCCCUGGGUUCUGUUCUGUGUGGGCCUGUGGGGAGUCUCUGGACAAGAUCUUUUCCAGGCCCUGACUUCUGCCUCCCUCUGAGUGGCACAGGGAGUUGAAUACUGCAUGGCGAGUGUAAUGAUGAUGGGGAGGGUCCUUGUGUCCUCACCCCUUCCUUUUUGGUGAUUUACACCACUGUACCAUACUGACCCAGGCUGGGGGCAGAUGUGUUGGAGACAGGCUGGUCAAAGAGGUGACAAUGAUUAAGAGAUAACCCAGUGGUCCCUGAGAAGAGAUUGGUUAGUAUGGCCUGAACUGGUGGCUGGGGGAACUGUGUCUGGUCAAGUUAUGGCAGAUGUCACAGCUUUAGGUAGGUAAAAAGGGUCCUAGAUGAAAACCUUGGAGUUUUUUUUUUCCUGAUAGGGUUGUUUAUACUUCUUGAUUGGUUUCUUGCCCUUUUCACUUUCAGUGAUGGUGGGUGUGCAGUAGACCAAAAGUGUCUUCUGCCCUUUUGUGCUAAGGGCCCUGGUUGACUGAGUGGCCCCAGUCAGAUGAGAGGCAAGUCCUAAGCUUCUUAUAGACAGGGAUGUUGACUUUGUUCUGCUGCAGCCUGAUAAACUGGGACCAUUGUGUGGUUAGUAAUGCACUUGCCAUUUGGUGACACAGACUGAAGGCUAUCCUACACCUGGGCCUUACCUCUUCCUCUACUGGCAUCCUAAUGGCACUCUGACAGCAUCCAGGGUGACUACAGGGCCCACUGGAAAUGGAUCAUCAUUCUCUCUUCUAGUGUCUAUCUUUAUCAUAACCUGAUGUCCCAAACUUGUGACAAGUUCUUUUGGCAACUGAAGGACCAUGAAGGGAAACGGUGAUGAGAGAGACUGCCCAUUAUAACUUUCAAAACCCCGUCUUUGGGGAAGAAUCAUCUAGGGUGACAUUCCUUGAAGUAAAUCCCAGGAGAAUCUAGGCCAAAGAGAUGAGCCAAGGUUAGUGAGACAAUUUAUUUUUAUUGCCUAAACUGCAGAGCAUUCUCUACACAGCGUAAAGGAGAAGUGGGGCAGCUGCAGGACAUGUAGAGAAACCAAACUGGGAAAUCUUACAAGGAGUUGAAAAGAUUAAUGUCCCAACCUGAUGAGAUUACGGCCUUGAGACAAUAAGGUGGAGCAACAGAACAAUGGGAAAGAGGACUGGGAGAGGAAUCUAAGAACCAGAUGGCUUCAGCUCUCUAGAGGAGCUGAGCCUAUUCACAGUGCCUAACCUGGAAGCCUGUGAGGAACAGGCCUCAGGCCCUUGCCGCGACCUACUUAGGCUACAAUUUCCUUUAAGGCAGCCCCUAGCUCUGGGAAGGAAUACUGGUAGCCAGUGGCCAGUGUUCGCCGUGGGAUCACCUUCUGGCCCUCCAGCAGCAUGAUGGCACGCUGUCGCCCAAAGACAGCUUGCACCACAGCGCUGGGGAGAGGGAUGAAGGCUCGGCGGCCCAGGGCAGCACCCAAGGUCUGGGCAAACUCAGCAUUAGUGGCGGAGGAUGGAGCUACUCCAUUCAGGACCCCGUGCACGUGGUUUGCUUCAAGGGCAUGGGUCAGGAUUCCUGCCAGGUCCCCGAUGUGUAUCCAGGGGAAGAAUUGGUGGCCUGAGCCGAUGGGGCCCCCCAGGCCCAGGCGAAAGGGCAGCAGCAUGUGGCCCAUGGCACCACCCCCACGGCCCAGCACAACCCCUAGAGCAGGCAAGAGGGAAGGUACAGGGGUCCUCUCAGCCUUGAAGGAGCCCACUGCUCCUCCUGGUUUCUGUUUCCCCUUCCUCACUCUCCCCAUGCUGACUUGGCUCUGUAACAGAAGCGAGCAGUAUGGCUCUCUUUAAGACCUCACACCUUCUCAUCUGCAGGUUGGCUAGAAGUGGUGGCAUCCUCUCACUCUGUAAUUGUAAUCUCAGCUCUCCUAAUCCCAUCACUUCCCCAGCCCAGAGAAGACAUUCCAACCCUGUCUGAUACCCAGGCCCGUUUCUCACCUGAGCGCACCACCACCUGGCGUGUAGAAUCUCCAGGAAGCCUGGCUGCAGCUUCCCAUUUGGUUACGAGGUUGGAGAAAAAGUCAAAGUCCCCUCCUGGGCUGUCUUCAUCAUACUCCGCAGUCAGACUGGGCUGGUAGUAAGCUGCCGGUGGAACACAAUCAUUUGCCCUGGGUGUCCUUGGUCCUGCCUGGCUCUCUGUAGUGGAGGCUCCCCUUGGCCUCACCUUCUCUGGCCCUUAGGAUCUCCCCAUUUGGUGACAGAGCCAUUUGGAUAUUUUCCCCUUGAACUUCUCCAUGACCUGAAGCGUUCCUUCCCUGGAGGAACUCUUUGGUUGCAGAGCUAAACUUAGAGGCUGCUAGAGUAUAGUGGUUAAGAACAGGAACUUGGGUACCAGGCGCCUGAAUUUUAAUCAGCUCCCUCAUUUAUUAACUCUCUGACUUGAUGCAAGUUACUUAACCUCUCUGUAUAGAAUUUUCACAUCUUUAAAAUGGGAAUAAUAGUACCUACCUCAUAGGGUUGUUGUAAGGAAUAAAUGAUAAUAAGCAUAAAACACUUCAAA